ACCGGCAAACGGGUGCGGAACACGUACACAACCUUCCUAUAAGUGGGGAAUAGCCCAGAGAAAUUUGGAUUAAUACCCCGUAACAUAACGAUGUGGCAUCACAUUGUUAUUAUAGCUUCGGCGCUUAUUGAUGGGUGUGCGGCUGAUUAGAUAGUUGGCGGGGUAACGGCCCACCAAGUCUACGAUCAGUAGCUGAUGUGAGAGCAUGAUCAGCCACACGGGCACUGAGACACGGGCCCGACUCCUACGGGAGGCAGCAGUAAGGAAUAUUGGUCAAUGGACGCGAGUCUGAACCAGCCAUGCCGCGUGAAGGAUUAAGGUCCUCUGGAUUGUAAACUUCUUUUAUCUGGGACGAAAAAAGGCUUUUCUAAGUCACUUGACGGUACCAGAUGAAUAAGCACCGGCUAACUCCGUGCCAGCAGCCGCGGUAAUACGGAGGGUGCAAGCGUUAUCCGGAUUCACUGGGUUUAAAGGGUGCGUAGGCGGGCAGGUAAGUCAGUGGUGAAAUCCUGGAGCUUAACUCCAGAACUGCCAUUGAUACUAUCUGUCUUGAAUAUUGUGGAGGUAAGCGGAAUAUGUCAUGUAGCGGUGAAAUGCUUAGAUAUGACAUAGAACACCUAUUGCGAAGGCAGCUUACUACGCAUAUAUUGACGCUGAGGCACGAAAGCGUGGGGAUCAAACAGGAUUAGAUACCCUGGUAGUCCACGCCCUAAACGAUGGAUACUCGACAUACGCG
rnacentral:rRNA from 1 species